rnacentral:rRNA from 1 species
GGGUGUAAAGCUCUGUCGCUGGGACGAAACAAAUGAGGGUNCCNNCUUAGGAAGCAUCGGCUAACUACGUGCCACAGCCGCGGUAAGACGUAGGAUGCAAGCGUUGUCCGGAUUUAUUGGGCGUAAAGAGUUCGAAUGUGGUUUGUUAAAUUUGGUGUUAAAGAUUGGGGCUCAACCCUGAAACUGCACUGAAUACUGGCGGACUCGAGUGUGGUAGAGGCUAGUGGAAUUCCCAGUGUAGGGGGAAAAUGCNUAGAUAUUGGGAAGAACACCGGUGGAGUAGGCGACUAGCUGGGNCAUAACUGACACUGANGAACAAANGCCNGGGGAGCCAAGGGGAUUAGAUACCCCAGUANUCCUGGCCGUAAACGAUGGAUACCAGGCNUAUCGGGUAUCGACCCCUGAUGUGCC